rnacentral:rRNA from 1 species
AACGAACGCUGGCGGCAUGCCUAACACAUGCAAGUCGAACGGGAUCCUAGCUUGCUAGGUGAGAGUGGCGGACGGGUGAGUAACACGUGGGAAUCUGCCUUUUUGGUUCGGGAUAACCGCGGGAAACUGCGGCUAAUACCGAAUGCCCUCGAGAGAGGAAAGAUUUAUCGCCAGAAGAGGAGCCCGCGUCCGAUUAGGUAGUUGGUGGGGUAAAGGCCUACCAAGCCGACGAUCGGUAGCUGGUCUGAGAGGAUGAUCAGCCACACUGGGACUGAGAUACGGCCCAGACUCCUACGGGAGGCAGCAGUGGGAAUAUUGGACAUGGGGCAACCCUGAUCCAGCAAUGCCGCGUGAGUGAUGAAGG